rnacentral:rRNA from 1 species
GGGGAAAAAUUAAUUAAAUAAUAUUAUAAUAAAAAAAUUUUUAAAUUAAAAUAUUUUAAUGGGGGUUAAAGUAUUUAUAAUAGAAAAAAUUUAAAAUUUUAUAAUUAAUUAGUAUUGAGAAAGAAAUUUGAAAUAGUUUAAAUAUUAAUUUAUUGAAAAGUAAUUUUUAUUUAGUGUAUCUUGUGUAUCAGAGUUUAUUAAUAAAAUAUUUUAAAGAAAAUUAUUCUCGAAUUUAAAAGAGAUAAUUAAUUAAUAAGGUUAUUGUAGCAAAAAUAUUUUUAAUAAUUAAUUGGAAAUGAAAUGUUAAUCGUUUUUAAAUAUAUCUAGUUUUUUUAGAAAAAAAUUUAAUUUUAUAUUUAUAAAAUUUUAUUAAAUUAAUUAAAUUAAUUAAAUAAUUUAUAAAUUUUAAUAAUUUAAGGGAUAAGCUUUAAAUUAAAUAUUUAUAAGAAAAAAUUAAAAUUAUAAGAUUUUUAAAAUUUAUAUUGUUUAAAAAUUAUAAUUUAUUAUAAAAUAAUUUUAUAAAAAUUAAAAUUUAAUCGAAAUUUAAUUUUAUAUAAAAAAAUAAUUAAUAAUUAUUAAUAAUUAGAAAUAAUGAUAAAAUUAGUAUAUUUUAAAAUAUUAAUUUUAUAUUUAAAUUAAAAUUAAUUAGAAAGAAUUCGGCAAAUAUAUGUAAAUAUAUUCACUUGUUUAUCAAAAACAUGUCUUUUUGAAAAUAAUUUAAAGUCUAAUCUGCCCACUGAUAUAAUAUUAAAGGGCUGCAGUAAAUUGACUGUACAAAGGUAGCAUAAUCAUUAGUCUCUUAAUUGGUGACUUGUAUGAAUGAUUGGAUGAAAUAUAAUCUGUUUCCUAAUUAAUAAGUAGAAUUUAAUUUUUUAUUAAAAAAGUUAAAAUAAAUUUAAAAGACGAGAAGACCCUAUAGAGUUUUAUAAAUUUAUUUAUUUUAUGAUUUUAUUUUAAUUAAAGAUAUAAAUUAGGUAAUUUAUUUUAUUGGGGUGAUAAAAAAAUUAAAAAAACUUUUUGAAAACUUUUACAUAAAUAAGUGAUUAAUUGAUCCAUAAUUUAUGAUUAUAAGAAAAAAUUACCUUAGGGAUAACAGCGUAAUUUUUUUUUUUAGUACUUAUAAGAAAAAAAGUUUGCGACCUCGAUGUUGGAUUAAGAUAAAAUUUAAAUGCAAAAGUUUAAAAUUUUGAUCUGUUCGAUCAUUAAAAUCUUACAUGAUCUGAGUUCAGACCGGUGUAAGCCAGGUUGGUUUCUAUCUUUAGAUAUAUAAAGUAUUUUAGUACGAAAGGAUCAAAUACUUAAAAUAAUUUUAUUAUUAUUGAAUUUUAUUAAUAUAAUGUUUUAAAAUAUUUAAAUUAAAUUUA